AACAGAUAUAGCAACGGUAGCAGCCACUGGCAGAGGAGCCGGUGGCACAUUCAGUGCCAUUUAGGCAUAGCCACCGUCUUCCACGGCACUCACCCUCUUCAUCUCUAGAAUGAUAAUCGUCUCGACGUUCUCUUCGAGUCGAGUAACCGCUUUCUCGAUAUUCUCAUCAUGUCGCUCAUCAUUCACGACGAUCUCCCUCUCCUUCCCAUGUACAUAGCAUCA
rnacentral:lncRNA from 1 species